rnacentral:lncRNA from 1 species
UCUGUCUUCACAAACACCCAGUAAGACUAUGGGAUUGUACACAAGACACCUACCCUUUCUGGCCCUCCAUUCCUUCAUCUGUAAAAUGAAAAUAGCAGUAAUACCACCUUCACCAAUCCAGCACCCUGCAGGGGCACAGGAAGGAGCUGACUCUUAUUUCCUCCUUUCCCCUCCUUAGUAUAAGUUAUGACUUAAGACAAAUCACAGAUUCGUCAGAGAAUUAUUAAUCACCUAGAACAAAUUUCUGAAGUGUUUGAGAGGCUCAGUGCUACACAUUGAUAAGCAUGUGUUAGAUAGAACCAUGUGACUGUCAGAGAUAUUUAUUGCUGUCUCCCCACUGCCUGCUACAAUGCAUGGCACGAAGAAGAGGCCAGGAGAACACGUGUGGAUUUGGUUAAUUCCCUGAGUAAUUGACUGUAUUCUUCUGGAUUAUAAACAUCUGUCUACUGGAAAAUUCUUGUGUGUCUCUGAAAGCCCAGCCCAAGUAUCACAGCAUCUGGGAAGCUUCCUCUGACCUUCUCAGCAGGAUUGACUGUGCCCUUAUCUCAGCUCCCCUCUACCGUGGCUUCUCUGCACCCACUUGUCACAUUGUUGAUUUGCAUGUCAGCCUCCCCCAAGGCCAGAGACUGACCCAAGGACAGAGCUGGGCCAUGGAUCUCUGUACCCUGGGCCCAGAACAUUCUCUACGAAUGCUUGGGGACUAAAUGGAUAUCAGAAAACUCUGCACUUCAUUUUCCUCCCAAGCUGUUGACCAGCGAGGCUGGCUAGGAACCCAUGCAGGAUGGAGCAUGCUCCAUCGCACUUGGAUGCCCGACGCACAAGCCUAAGGCACAUGAGGUUGUGAGGAUGCUCAAAGGGGAAAAGUCACCCUUCAGGACUGGAUCUAAUGAAAAUACUUUAAUGGGGAUGAAUAAACAGAGGAGCAUAAAGUUAUGCAUGUACAUUGAAUAAAGUAUAUUUUCAUCCAUAAAAUACAAGUUUAGCUUAGAUUGUUGUAUUAUCUCUCAUUGCAUAACAAAUUAACUCCAAAAGUUGGCUGCUCACAACUGACCACAUUUCUGAGUGUUGGGAAUGCAAUAACUGGUUCAGGAUCCCUUAAAGGUCAUGUCAGCUCUCGGUGG